rnacentral:rRNA from 1 species
CCUACGGGUGGCUGCAGUAACGAAUAUUCCGCAAUGCGCGAAAGCGUGACGGAGCAAUGCCGCGUGCAGGAUGAAGCGGUUCUGCCGUGUAAACUGCUGUCAGGGUCUAGGAAGAACUGACCAGACCCAGAGGAAGGGCCGGCUAAUCUCGUGCCAGCAGCCGCGGUAAGACGAGAGGCCCAAGCGUUAUUCGGAAUCACUGGGCUUAAAGGGUGCGUAGGCUGAUGUGUAGGUGUGUCGUGAAAUCCCUCGGCUCAACCGGGGAACUGCUAUGCAAACCACACAUCUUGAGUCAGGUAGAGGUUGUCGGAACGUUCGGUGGAGCGGUGAAAUGCGUAGAUAUCGAACGGAACGCCCAUGGGGAAGCCAGGCAACUGGACCUGUACUGACGCUGAGGCACGAAAGCGUGGGGAGCAAACAGGAUUAGAUACCCUAGUAGU